rnacentral:rRNA from 1 species
CAGUCGCCGCGGUAAUACGAAGGGUGCAAGCGUUACUCGGAAUUACUGGGCGUAAAGCGUGUGUAGGUGGUUGUUUAAGCCUGUCGUGAAAGCCCUGGGCUCAACCUGGGAAUUGCGAUGGAUACUGGGCGACUAGAGUGCGGUAGAGGAUAGUGGAAUUUCCGGUGUAGCAGUGAAAUGCGUAGAGAUCGGAAGGAACAUCUGUGGCGAAGGCGACUAUCUGGGCCAACACUGACACUGAGACACGAAAGCGUGGGGAGCAAACAGGAUUAGAUACCCGUGUAGUCCCUGUCUCUUAUAA